GUACGAGAGGACCGGGAUGGACGUACCUCUGGUGUACCAGUUGUUCUGCCAAGGGCAUGGCUGGGUAGCUAUGUACGGAAUGGAUAAGCGCUGAAAGCAUCUAAGCGCGAAGCCAACUUCAAGAUAAAAUUUCCCACCGCAAGGGUAAGACCCCAGAAAGACUAUCUGGUUGAUAGGUCGAAGGUGUAAGUGCAGCAAUGUAUUUAGCUUAUCGAUACUAAUAGGUCGAGGACUUGACCAAU
rnacentral:rRNA from 1 species